rnacentral:tRNA from 1 species
GAAUAGAUUUCUGAGCGGUUGAAAGAGUCGGUCUUGAAAACCGAAGUAUUUAUAGAAAUACCGGGGGUUAGAAUCCCUCUCCAUCCG